GGAUUAUAGCUUGCUAUAAUUGUCAGCUAAGUGGCGCACGGGUGAGUAAUAUAUAGGUAACGUGCCUUCAAGAAGGGGAUAACAGAUGGAAACGCCUGCUAACACCCUAUAUGCCUUUAAUACAUAAGUAUGCAAGGGAAAUAUUCAUAGCUUGAAGAUCGGCCUGUACAGUAUCAGUUAGUUGGUGAGGUAAUGGCUCACCAAGACAAUGACGCUUAACUGGUUUGAGAGGAUGAUCAGUCACACUGGAACUGAGACACGGUCCAGACUCCUACGGGAGGCAGCAGUGGGGAAUAUUGCACAAUGGGGGAAACCCUGAUGCAGCAACGCCGCGUGGAGGAUGACACAUUUCGGUGCGUAAACUCCUUUUAUAUAGGAAGAUAAUGACGGUACUAUAUGAAUAAGCGCCGGCUAACUCCGUGCCAGCAGCCGCGGUAAUACGGAGGGCGCAAGCGUUACUCGGAAUCACUGGGCGUAAAGAGCGUGUAGGCGGAUAAAUAAGUCAGAAGUGAAAUCCAAUAGCUCAACUAUUGAACUGCUUUUGAAACUGUUUAUCUAGAGUAUGGGAGAGGUAGAUGGAAUUUCUGGUGUAGGGGUAAAAUCCGUAGAGAUCAGAAGGAAUACCGAUUGCGAAGGCGAUCUACUGGAACAUAACUGACGCUGAGACGCGAAAGCGUGGGGAGCAAACAGGAUUAGAUACCCUGGUAGUCCACGCCCUAAACGAUGUACACUAGUUGUUGCUAUGCUCGACAUAGCAGUAAUGCAGUUAACACAUUAAGUGUACCGCCUGGGGAGUACGGUCGCAAGAUUAAAACUCAAAGGAAUAGACGGGGACCCGCACAAGCGGUGGAGCAUGUGGUUUAAUUCGACGAUACGCGAAGAACCUUACCUGGU
rnacentral:rRNA from 1 species